GCGACUUGAACAGCGCCUCAUUAUAUAGAUCAAGAUCCGAAAUCGGCAGCUUUUAAUUAUGCGUGUUAUAUUUGUUUAUUGCUUUUUUUUCUAGAAACCGGAAACGCUGUUUUUCUCGCUUUUUAUUGGUUUACAUUUAGUAGUGAGUGCAAGUAAAGGGGUCUCUUAUAACUUACUAUAUUGGAUGUGCUUUGUUCAUUGUUGAAUGCCAUUAGGCAUACGAUGUUUUAUUGGGGUAUACAUCUUUAUUAGUUCGUCUUUUGAUAAAAGUU
rnacentral:lncRNA from 1 species